rnacentral:rRNA from 1 species
CCUACGGGUGGCAGCAGUGGGGAAUAUUGCACAAUGGGCGAAAGCCUGAUGCAGCAACGCCGCGUGAAGGAAGACGGUUUUCGGAUUGUAAACUUCUAUCAAUAGGGAAGAAAGAAAUGACGGUACCUAAAUAAGAAGCCCCGGCUAACUACGUGCCAGCAGCCGCGGUAAUACGUAGGGGGCAAGCGUUGUCCGGAAUCAUUGGGCGUAAAGAGUUCGUAGGUGGCAUAUUAAGUCUGGUGUUAAAUGCAGAAGCUCAACUUCUGUUCGGGACUGGAUACUGGUAAGCUUGAAUGCGGUAGAGGUAAAGGGAAUUCCUGGUGUAGCGGUGAAAUGCGUAGAUAUCAGGAGGAACAUCGGUGGCGUAAGCGCUUUACUGGGCCGUAAUUGACACUGAGGAACGAAAGCCGGGGUAGCAAAUGGGAUUAGAUACCCCGGUAGUC